GUCCUCCUCCACCAGCCCACCACCCUCCGACAGCCCUCCCCAUGCCGAAGAAGGCCAGGAGUCGGGGGAAUCUGCUUCAGAAAGAACCCCGUCAAAGAAGCGGAUUCUCAGAUGCAGACUGGAGGUGUGGCUCUCCCCACAUAAAUCGCCACAGAAGAUAGUGUCCAAAAGGCUGGUGGAACAAG